rnacentral:misc_RNA from 1 species
UUGGUUUGUUUCCGGUGGUUGGCUCUUUGCUUGCGCAACAACUUCCACCUGGCAUACCUCUUCAAUUACACGUCAAGGUUUUAUUGCCUUGAAUGCGUUGUGGGUUUCCUGUGUUGCAUACCUAUUAGACGGUAUCGUUUGGAUCCAUCGAAGUUUGUUUCGUCUUUCGUCAUGCUUGUGGCGUGAGAUGAACCUUGAAGCGGUCUAUGUGGUCUACCUUAUUAAUGCAUACGCGUUGAUAUUGUGGCUCAUUUAGCAUUGCUUGGUUUUCUGGAUACGGAACAUGAAGUGGGCAUGGGGUCUCACACGAUCCUUAUUUUGUCCAAGUUGAGCGUUACGUUUCUCUAAGAUGACUGCCCAGCCCGAAUUGGCUCGUACCACCGGAUGGGAUAUGUUGUCAAAGAGGGAUGGUAGUGCUCUUCCUUCUAAAAAACGACCGCCUACCCGUUUGGCUCGUACCAGCGGGUGGGUGAUGUCGAAGAGGGAUGCUACCUGGUUGAUCCUGCCAGUAGUCAUAUGCUUGUCUCAA